rnacentral:rRNA from 1 species
GAUGAACGCUAGCGGCAGGCCUAAUACAUGCAAGUCGAGGGGUAGAAGAGGCUUGCUUCUUUGAGACCGGCGCACGGGUGCGCAACGCGUAUGCAACCUACCUUCAUCUGGGGGAUAGCCCGGAGAAAUCCGGAUUAAUACCGCAUAAAAUUACAGGAUGGCAUUAUCCAAUGAUCAAACAUUUAUGGGAUGGAGAUGGGCAUGCGUGUCAUUAGCUAGUUGGCGGGGUAACGGCCCACCAAGGCGACGAUGACUAGGGGAUCUGAGAGGAUGGCCCCCCACACUGGUACUGAGACACGGACCAGACUCCUACGGGAGGCAGCAGUAAGGAAUAUUGGUCAAUGGAGGCAACUCUGAACCAGCCAUGCCGCGUGCAGGAAGACUGCCCUAUGGGUUGUAAACUGCUUUUAUUCGGGAAUAAACCUUAUUACGUGUAAUAAGCUGAAUGUACCGAAGGAAUAAGGAUCGGCUGACUCCGUGCCAGCCGCCGCGGUAACAC